rnacentral:rRNA from 1 species
UACAGAGGGUGCGAGCGUUGUCCGGAAUCACUGGGCGUAAAGGGCGCGUAGGCGGCUCGGUCAGCGUGCGGUGAAAGCCCGGGGCUCAACCCCGGGUCGGCCGUGCGAACUGCUGGGCUCGAGCACUGUAGAGGCAGGUGGAAUUCCGGGUGUAGCGGUGGAAUGCGUAGAGAUCCGGAAGAACACCGGUGGCGAAGGCGGCCUGCUGGGCAGUAGCUGACGCUGAUGCGCGACAGCGUGGGGAGCAAACAGG